GCAGCCGCGGUAAUACGUAGGGUGCGAGCGUUGUCCGGAAUUAUUGGGCGUAAAGAGCUCGUAGGCGGCUUGUCACGUCGGAUGUGAAAGCUCGGGGCUUAACCCCGAGUCUGCAUUCGAUACGGGCUAGCUAGAGUGUGGUAGGGGAGAUCGGAAUUCCUGGUGUAGCGGUGAAAUGCGCAGAUAUCAGGAGGAACACCGGUGGCGAAGGCGGAUCUCUGGGCCAUUACUGACGCUGAGGAGCGAAAGCGUGGGGAGCGAACAGGAUUAGAUACCCUGGUAGUCCACGCCGUAAACGUUGGGAACUAGGUGUUGGCGACAUUCCACGUCGUCGGUGCCGCAGCUAACGCAUUAAGUUCCCCGCCUGGGGAGUACGGCCGCAAGGCUAAAAUUCAAAGGAAUUGACGGGGGCCCGCACAAGCAGCGGAGCAUGUGGCUUAAUUCGACGCAACGCGAAGAACCUUACCAAGGCUUGACAUAUACCGGAAAGCAUCAGAGAUGGUGCCCCCCUUGUGGUCGGUAUACAGGUGGUGCAUGGCUGUCGUCAGCUCGUGUCGUGAGAUGUUGGGUUAAGUCCCGCAACGAGCGCAACCCUUGUUCUGUGUUGCCAGCAUGCCCUUCGGGGUGAUGGGGACUCACAGGAGACUGCCGGGGUCAACUCGGAGGAAGGUGGGGACGACGUCAAGUCAUCAUGCCCCUUAUGUCUUGGGCUGCACACGUGCUACAGUGGCCG
rnacentral:rRNA from 1 species